rnacentral:misc_RNA from 1 species
CUUAGACAAAAACUCAGUAUUUUAUGUUUUGAGCUAAUAAGAUAAAAACACAGUAAUUCACAACAGCACAUACUUCCUCUCUAAUCUAUUAACCCCUUGAAAAAAUAAGCCGAAAUGCAACCGAGUAACGCACAGACAAUAAUCGAAGAACAAUAUGUAAGAAAUUGCAGAAUACAUAUCAAAACAAUAAUAUAUUUUCUGGGAACUUCACCAUGUUUGAACAACAUCUUAAUAUAAUUCAUACUACAAUGACUUAACAUUUGAAUCCUCACUACAUGCCUACAGAAAUAAAGAAAAUAUCUUGAGAUGGCCAUUUUACAUUUUAACUAACAAUAACACUCUCCCAAUACUACUAAGCCCAUGCUUUCUCAAGCAAUCUACAAAAUUGCCUCAUAAAAACAAACUUUAUAGGAACUUAGCCCAGCUGGUAACACCCUAUUUUAUGUACUAUUAUGUUCUCACACAUUUACAAUAAAUAAAAUGAUAGGAAGUAAACAGCCUACAGUAUUAUAUACUUCACACUUACAAAAAUUUUGUCACCCACUUCUUCCACAGAAUUCCUACUUUGCCAAAAUCUGCCUUGGGUUGCUGGUCAACAUGAAUUCAUUGUGUUGACCUACCUCAAAACAGUCUCUUAUAGAAGUGACCAUUAGUAUGCAAAAUUCAUCUUCUUCCGACCCCUUCCGUUCCAUCCACGAUCCAUCUGAUAGUCAUUCCCUCGAAACCUGGAGGUUUUGUACCUUGACAUGUACAAGCCAGUACCCUCUCUCUUCCUGUUAUUCCCAUCCCAUGUUUCCCAAUCUCCACCAGUUGUAUCAUUGAAAUUAUUCCAUUGGUUAUAAUUAUUGUCCCACUCGUUGUAAUUAUUCUUGCAUCCAUAGGAAUCAUUCCAAUGAUUUCCCCAUUCAUUAUCUAUCACAGAUCCAUUAGCUUGAGGAACAUUGCUCUCCCACGGAUUUCCAUCAUUAACCUUUUGAUCACAAUGUUUGUAUCCAGGAUCCAAAACUGCAGGGGCUGCCUUUUGCAACUCCUCUUCAGCCUCCCCCCAUCCGGUGCACAAAAAUGACUGGUUCAGGGGGAGAGAACUACCAAAAAUCACAACCUCCUCUCCUUUAUCUUUCUCAUCAGGAUUCUUGGGCUCCCGUUCCAAAUCUAAAUACAAUUCGGGGUCAAUAUUGGAAUUCCAGUCAAUUUCAUCGAUAUAAACAUCAGGAUCAGGCAAUGAUAUGUCACAAGGAAGACCAUUAAUCUUCGCCCAAAAUCGGUUUUUAGCAUUGUGAAAUGCCUCUUCACCAGCAGAGUCAUUCCACUGAACUACAUUCUCAUAGAGGUACAUAAAUUUUUUGGUUUCCAAUAGCUUGGGCCAUGGAACCAAACCAACUGAAUAGCAGAAUUUUUUCUCCCAUGAUGGCACAGUUGGCUGCCAACUACCAUGCGGAGGCUUUCUAUGGUUUGAUCUUGUCGUCCCCUGAACUUCUUGAUGAUGAAUUUCACCUUUAUGUCUCCUCCUGUUAUUCAUAAUCAAAUCUGAAAGGGCAAAACGCACACUCAAAAAACAAAACAAAAGAUCCUCUAAAAAACCAAAGAUCAAACAGACAGAAACUGGGAUUAAAACCAAGAAAGAAACAAUGCACGAAGUAACAAUUCUCAAGGUUCUGCAAACAAAAAAGAAGAAAAAGAAAAAAGGGUACGAACAAUUUUGUGAAGAAAGACUUGAUCUACGAAGAAAUCCAGUAAAGAUUUGGCCAAAGAAUUGCAGGGAAUAGAGGAGCUUCGUUAGGGUGAUCACAAGGUAAAAGCUUUUUGCUACGGGUAUUUUGCGGGUGUUGGA